rnacentral:rRNA from 1 species
GAUGAACGCUAGCGGCAGGCUUAACACAUGCAAGUCGAGGGGCAGCAUGAGACGGAGAUUCGUCGAAGUCUUGAUGGCGACCGGCGCAAGGGUGCGUAACGCGUGAGCAACUUGCCCGUUUCUGGGGAAUAACCGGUGGAAACGCCGACUAAUACCCCAUAGUAUUGAUUUGAGGCAUCUCUUAUCAAUUAAAGAAAUUCGGAAACGGAUAGGCUCGCGUGACAUUAGCUAGAUGGCGGGGUAACGGCCCACCAUGGCGACGAUGUCUAGGGGUUCUGAGAGGAAGGUCCCCCACACUGGAACUGAGACACGGUCCAGACUCCUACGGGAGGCAGCAGUGAGGAAUAUUGGUCAAUGGUCUGACGACUGAACCAGCCAUGCCGCGUGAAGGUCACGGCCCUAUGGGUCUUAAACUUCUUUUGUAAGGGAGCAAUAAGUCUCACGUGUGGGAUGAUGAGAGUACCUUACGAAUAAGCAUCGGCUAACUCCGUGCCAG